rnacentral:rRNA from 1 species
UACGUAGGGGGCAAGCGUUGUCCGGAAUUAUUGGGCGUAAAGCGCGCGCAGGCGGUUCUUUAAGUCUGAUGUGAAAUCUCGGGGCUCAACCCCGAGCGGUCAUUGGAAACUGGGGAACUUGAGUACAGAAGAGGAGAGUGGAAUUCCACGUGUAGCGGUGAAAUGCGUAGAUAUGUGGAGGAACACCAGUGGCGAAGGCGACUCUCUGGUCUGUAACUGACGCUGAGGCGCGAAAGCGUGGGGAGCGAACAGG